CAGCCACUCGCUCCGCGCAGUCAGCUCUGCUGACUCUUCCGGAGGAUUCUGGAAGGUUCCAGAGGGUGUGCCGCCGAGGCCCUGCGAGAGGGCGUUCCCUGGGGAGAACAUUCCAGAGCAAGCAAGGACACGGAAGCCACAUUUGUGAUGAACUCUGAGCCAUGCCCACCCCUCUGGGGCCAGGCCAGCCUGAAGCCAUCUCACUGGCUCUCCAGCUGCCAGAAAUGGAGGCUAGCUUCUGAUACCAAAGUUCCACACCAGGAUAUCAACAGCAGCCCUGCUUACACUAGUGAAAAAUUAGACAGGAUCUAAGUGUCCCACACUGAGGAAAGAGAUGAACUCCAGCACGAGUG
rnacentral:lncRNA from 1 species